rnacentral:rRNA from 1 species
GGACCCGCACAAGUAGUGGAGCAUGUGGUUUAAUUCGAAGAUACGCGCAGAACCUUACCAACACUUGACAUGUUCGUCGCGACUUUAAGAGAUUAAAGUUUUCGGUUCGGCCGGACGAAACACAGGUGCUGCAUGGCUGUCGUCAGCUCGUGUCGUGAGAUGUUGGUUAAGUCCCGCAACGAGCGCAACCCUCACUUUUAGUUGCCAUCAUUUAGUUGGGCACUCUGAAAGAACUGCCAGUGAUAAGCUGGAGGAAGGUGGGGAUGACGUCAAGUCCUCAUGGCCCUUACGUGUUGGGCUACACACGUGCUACAAUGGCCGGUACAGAGAGCAGCCACUACGCGAGUAGGAGCG